rnacentral:snRNA from 1 species
GUGUUGCCGAAGCUAGCACGCUUUCUAAAAUUGGAACGAUACAGCGAAGAUUAGCAUGGCUCCUGUGCAAGGAUGACACCCAAACGGUGGUGGACACAUGGAACAGCCUU